rnacentral:lncRNA from 1 species
GGCCUCGUGCGUGGGGCGGGCGCGUGGCGCGGAGUUGGUGCCUGCGGCCGCAGAGGCCAGAUCAACUGCCCCUCCAGGCCCGGGAGACGCGGCCGUGGGGCGUGAAACGCUUCUUGCGAAGGAGAAAACGGGCACGAUUCUGCUUUUGUGGGACCAAGGACUGUCUGCAGACUGGACAGGAGGCUGUCUUCAUUGGAAAAUUCGUUUUUCCAAAGAUGAUCUGCAGUGAACUUUACCCAGCUGACUGUUCUUGGAGAGUGUGUGAGGUCUCCAAAAGCCAACAAGAAAUCAAGGUCAAAAUGGACACGAGAAACUCAGGGACUGUACGUGAGAUGUACUCAGAUACUCUGUCCACCUUCUGUUUUAGCCAAACUUCUGCAAGAAGGAAAAAAAAAAAGUGUCUGAUUUCAAUGGUUUUAAAGUUAUGAGGGGAAGUUGUAACUUCAGGCUACCAUCUGUCUGCCUCAAAUAUUUUACUUCUUGCUUAUUCUUUGUCAAAGUUUGCAUCUAUAGGAGGCCACUGGGAGUAGGAGGAAAAUUCAUGAUUUAUCAUAUGUUUUGAUUUGCUUGUAAUGUUUUAAAUAUGCUUCCACAGAGUCUCAGAAAGUACAUCUAAAAGGAGAGAAUUGUGUUCGAGUCAGACACAAAGUCUCUCCGAGAAAGGGGAGGGAUGCUUCAGGGCAAGCCCAGGCCGUGGCUGAGUCAGGCUGACCCUGGGCCGCUGCAGGGGAGCCACCAGGACACCGUUUGGUGUGUCCUCAGGGGACCAGCUAGGAGAGAUGUCUCGCUGAAAGAUGGCAAGUACACUCCUAUACACAGGGCACCACGGGACACAUCUCCUUGGAAGUGUGCUGAUUAAAAAUCUGUCAGCAAACCACAUAUCCCCAGGAGCCCUGCAGGUAACACAAACAAGUGACUUAAGACAGGGAUAAGAAAACUAUUUUCUCUUAUUUCCCUUGAAAUUCUCAGUCUUCUUAGUUGAGGUCUCAUCUCCCCACUUUUGAUCAUGACGUGGUACAAGGAACACUUCACACCCAACUUAACCUCUUUGCUAUGAAAAAACAUUCAAGCACCAUGAUAAAUAUCAAAAGAUUCAAGUAAGGUGUCUGGAAGAUAGUCAAGGGUGGUGGAGACCCCAAUGAUACAGGCCAGAGUUCAUCACUAUGGCAGGGAAUGAUGUGAGCAGCAUCAUUAGUUUAGAACUGUUUGCUCUAGAGUAGAAAGCAUGUGUACUGACUCCAACUGUGUUUUCAAGUAGGCUUUGUGGGGAGGGGUGGUUUUACAAUUACGUAGGUUUGAUGCAUAUUCUAACAACAGUUCCAUCAAGAAUCUGGGAGGUGGGAGGGAGCUUCGUGAGGGAGGGGACAUAUGUACACCUAUGGUUAAUUCAUGUUGAUGUAUGACAGAAAUCAAAUCAAUAUUGUACACCAAUCAUCAAUCAAUUAAAAAUAAAUAAAUAUUAAAAAAGAAGAAUCUGUUCUUU